AAGCAAGACUAUGUAGCAGACUGUCAAAACCAUUUGGACAGUUUGAGCUUGCUAUAUAGCAAGAAAGUCUAACCUAUUCCAGUGUUCUCUCCGUUACGAGACAAAUCGUUAUGCAGUCUUAAACAGU